GAUCUCUAGUUAGACAAAAAGUAACUUCAAACAUAAAUUGGAGGUUUUCAGCGAGCAAAUUAGGAUUCCGAAGUAGCUCAGUUGGUUAGAGCACUCCACGCGAAAUUGAGAGGUCCCGGGUUUGCUGGCUCGGAUGAUAAUUAUGCAAAUGCUACACACGGAACACAAAAUGCACCAUGAUGCAAUUCUGACAAUGGAAAAAAGUAAUUUUUUGGCGGAACCCAAGCAUUUGUUAAUAAGUCCAGCCUCUGAGAUUCACUAAGUCUGAUGCCAAUAAAAUUUCCGACGUCGUGUUUAUUUACGUUGUUUAACGUUUUUGUUGCCUUCACUACAUGAGCUUUGAUCGCCCGUAUUUUCACUACCCGAUGCAGCGUACCGAGGUUUUUCACGGCUGUUUCGACAGAUGAUUGCGCUUCUUCAUUGUCUUCAGUUUUUGGAGGUUUGCAAAAUGGUUUUACAGCUGAUGCAGCGCCGCAGCACGUAGUAAACUGGGAGGCACUGUGACUGUCUGAAGUAUCACUUGGAGGUCGCAUGAUUGGUCGGUCCGUUAGAAGCGCUGGAGUUAUCAUAUUUUCCACGAACCCACCUGAUGAACAACAAACCGGCAGGCAGACGCCAAAACUGCGUAAAUCCUGGCAAACGCAGCGACCGCUGGCAAGCUAAAAGAUUCCAGGAAGAAUUUGUCGGUUGACAAGAAGUCAACAGUAUUGAACAUAAUAUGCUGUACUGCACAGUCAGAAGAAAAAUGUGUUUCUUUUUCAAUUUUGAGAUUAUAUCAUCUUAUAAUUCUCAGAGCCAAGGGGGGGAUUGAUCCCCCUGAUCCCCCCCUAUCUACGCUACUGGUUGUAAUGGAAAAUUCUUUAUUAA